AAUGAACGUUGGCGGCAUGGAUUAGGCAUGCAAGUCGAGCGAGAAAAGUUUUGAAGCUUGCUUUAGAACUCGGACAGCGGCGAAAGGGAGAGUAACGCGUAGUUAUGUGCCCUAGGGUCCGGAAUAGCCACGGGAAACUGUGGGUAAUGCCGGAUAACAUCCCCGGAUCAAAGGUGUGAUUCCGCCCUAGGAGCAGACUGCGUCCUACUAGCUAGUUGGUGGGGUAAUGGCCCACCAAGGCAAUGAUGGGUAGCGGGUGUGAGAGCAUGACCCGUCUCACUGGGACUGAGACACUGCCCAGACACCUACGGGUGGCUGCAGUCGAGAAUCUUCGGCAAUGGGCGAAAGCCUGACCGAGCGAUGCCGCGUGCGGGAUGAAGGCCCUCGGGUUGUAAACCGCUGUCGUAGGGGAGGAAGGUUCCGUGAAGAGCGGAAUUUGACCUAUCCUAGGAGGAAGUACGGGCUAAGUUCGUGCCAGCCGCCGCUGUAACAC
rnacentral:rRNA from 1 species